UGGGGAAUAUUGGACAAUGGGCGAAAGCCUGAUCCAGCCAUGCCGCGUGAGUGAAGAAGGCCUUCGGGUUGUAAAGCUCUUUCAGCCGGAAAGAAAUCGCGCAGGCUAAUACUCUGCGUGGAUGACGGUACCGGAAGAAGAAGCACCGGCUAACUACGUGCCAGCAGCCGCGGUAAUACGUAGGGUGCGAGCGUUAAUCGGAAUUACUGGGCGUAAAGCGUGCGCAGGCGGUUAUAUAAGACAGAUGUGAAAUCCCCGGGCUCAACCUGGGAACUGCGUUUGUGACUGUAUGACUAGAGUACGGCAGAGGGAGGUGGAAUUCCGCGUGUAGCAGUGAAAUGCGUAGAUAUGCGGAGGAACACCGAUGGCGAAGGCAGCCUCCUGGGCCAGUACUGACGCUCAUGCACGAAAGCGUGGGGAGCAAACA
rnacentral:rRNA from 1 species